rnacentral:rRNA from 1 species
CCUACGGGUGGCAGCAGUGAGGAAUAUUGGUCAAUGGACGAGAGUCUGAACCAGCCAAGUAGCGUGAAGGAUGACUGCCCUAUGGGUUGUAAACUUCUUUUAUAUGGGAAUAAAAUGUUCCACGUGUGGGAUUUUGUAUGUACCAUAUGAAUAAGGAUCGGCUAACUCCGUGCCAGCAGCCGCGGUAAUACGGAGGAUCCGAGCGUUAUCCGGAUUUAUUGGGUUUAAAGGGAGCGUAGGUGGAUUGUUAAGUCAGUUGUGAAAGUUUGCGGCUCAACCGUAAAAUUGCAGUUGAAACUGGCAGUCUUGAGUACAGUAGAGGUGGGCGGAAUUCGUGGUGUAGCGGUGAAAUGCUUAGAUAUCACGAAGAACUCCGAUUGCGAAGGCAGUUCACUGGACUGCAACUGACACUGAGGCUCGAAAGUGUGAGUAUCAAACAGGAUUAGAUACCCUUGUAGUC